rnacentral:rRNA from 1 species
GAUGAACGCUGGCGGCGUGCCUAAUACAUGCAAGUCGAGCGAACAGACGAGGAGCUUGCUCCUCUGACGUUAGCGGCGGACGGGUGAGUAACACGUGGAUAACCUACCUAUAAGACUGGGAUAACUUCGGGAAACCGGAGCUAAUACCGGAUAAUAUAUUGAACCGCAUGGUUCAAUAGUGAAAGACGGUUUUGCUGUCACUUAUAGAUGGAUCCGCGCCGCAUUAGCUAGUUGGUAAGGUAACGGCUUACCAAGGCAACGAUGCGUAGCCGACCUGAGAGGGUGAGCGGCCACACUGGAACUGAGACACGGUCCAGACUCCUACGGGAGGCAGCAGUAGGGAAUCUUCCGCAAUGGGCGAAAGCCUGACGGAGCAACGCCGCGUGAGUGAUGAAGGUCUUCGGAUCGUAAAACUCUGUUAUUAGGGAUGAACAAAUGUGUAAGUAACUAUGCACGUCUUGACGGUACCUAAUCAGAAAGCCACGGCUAACUACGUG